GACGAACUUUGGCGGCGUGCUUAACACAUGCAAGUCGAACGGUAAGGCUCCAGCUUGCUGGGGUACACGAGUGGCGAACGGGUGAGUAACACGUGGGUGACCUGCCCUGCACUUCGGGAUAAGCCUGGGAAACUGGGUCUAAUACCGGAUAGGACCGCACCGUGAGGGUGUGGUGGAAAGUUUUUUCGGUGUGGGAUGGGCCCGCGGCCUAUCAGCUUGUUGGUGGGGUAAUGGCCUACCAAGGCGGCGACGGGUAGCCGGCCUGAGAGGGUGGACGGCCACAUUGGGACUGAGACACGGCCCAGACUCCUACGGGAGGCAGCAGUGGGGAAUAUUGCACAAUGGGCGGAAGCCUGAUGCAGCGACGCCGCGUGGGGGAUGACGGCCUUCGGGUUGUAAACUCCUUUCACCAUCGACGAAGGGUUUCUGACGGUAGAUGGAGAAGAAGCACCGGCUAACUACGUGCCAGCAGCCGCGGUAAUACGUAGGGUGCGAGCGUUGUCCGGAAUUACUGGGCGUAAAGAGCUCGUAGGUGGUUUGUCGCGUCGUCUGUGAAAUUCCGGGGCUUAACUCCGGGCGUGCAGGCGAUACGGACAUAACUUGAGUACUGUAGGGGAGACUGGAAUUCCUGGUGUAGCGGUGAAAUGCGCAGAUAUCAGGAGGAACACCGGUGGCGAAGGCGGGUCUCUGGGCAGUAACUGACGCUGAGGAGCGAAAGCAUGGGGAGCGAACAGGAUUAGAUACCCUGGUAGUCCAUGCCGUAAACGGUGGGCGCUAGGUGUGGGUUUCCUUCCACGGGAUCCGUGCCGUAGCUAACGCAUUAAGCGCCCCGCCUGGGGAGUACGGCCGCAAGGCUAAAACUCAAAGGAAUUGACGGGGGCCCGCACAAGCGGCGGAGCAUGUGGAUUAAUUCGAUGCAACGCGAAGAACCUUACCUGGGCUUGACAUAUACAGGAUCGCGCCAGAGAUGGUGUUUCCCUUGUGGCUUGUAUACAGGUGGUGCAUGGUUGUCGUCAGCUCGUGUCGUGAGAUGUUGGGUUAAGUCCCGCAACGAGCGCAACCCUUGUCUUAUGUUGCCAGCACGUUGUGGUGGGGACUCGUAAGAAACUGCCGGGGUUAACUCGGAGGAAGGUGGGGAUGACGUCAAAUCAUCAUGCCCCUUAUGUCCAGGGCUUCACACAUGCUACAAUGGUCGGUACAGUGGGUUGCCAGUCCGUGAGGGCGAGCUAAUCCCGCAAAGCCGGUCUCAGUUCGGAUCGGGGUCUGCAACUCGACCCCGUGAAGUCGGAGUCGCUAGUAAUCGCAGAUCAGCAACGCUGCGGUGAAUACGUUCCCGGGCCU
rnacentral:rRNA from 1 species